AACGAACGCCAGCGGCGUGGAUUAGGCAUGCAAGUCGAACGGACUCCGUAGCAAUACGGAGUUAGUGGCGGAAGGGUGAGUAAUGCAUAGAUAACCUACCCCCGAGACCGGGAUAACUCCGGGAAACCGGAGCUAAGACCGGAUGGGAUCACUGGGUCGCAUGACUCUGGUGAUUAAAGGAGGCCUCUGAAUAUGCUCCCGCUCGGGGAGGGAUCUAUGUCCUAUCAGCUAGUUGGUGAGGGUAAGAGCCCACCAAGGCAUUGACGGGUAGCCGGCCUUAGCGGGUGUCCGGCCACAUUGGGACUGAGACACUGCCCAAACUCCUACGGGAGGCUGCAGUCGAGGAUCUUCCGCAAUGGGCGCAAGCCUGACGGAGCGACGCCACGUGUGGGAUGAAGGCCUUCGGGUUGUAAACCACUGUCACCCGUUAAGAAAGGGUUGGGGGUUAACAGCUUCCAGCACUGACGAAGGCGGGAGAGGAAGCCACGGCUAACUUCGUGCCAGCAGCCGCGGUAAGACGAAGGUGGCGAGCGUUGUUCGGAAUCACUGGGCAUAAAGUGCACGUAGGCGGUGACAUAAGUCGGUUGUGAAAUCCCUCGGCCUAACCGAGGAACUGCGGCCGAUACUGUGUUGCUUGAGGACCAGAGGGGUGCAUGGAAUUUCCGGUGGAGCGGUGAAAUGCGUUGAUAUCGGAAGGAACUCCGGCGGCGAAAGCGAUGCACUGGCUGGUUUACUGACGCUGAGGUGCGAAAGCCAGGGGAGCAAACGGGAUUAGAUACCC
rnacentral:rRNA from 1 species